AUCGGCAGGGACCACCUAAACGACCCAGCUGUGCUGGACACACAGGAUGCCCACACACGCCGUGCCGCGGCCCAGCCUCCAGAUGGUGCCCCAGCCAGGUUGAAGCCGCCAGGAGCAACGCCAGCGCGUCACAUGCCAGGCCCAUGCGCGUGGCAAAGAGUCACGAGGUCUUCUCUUUGGCCCCCGUGACACUGCGGUACCACUCUGCCAGUAGCUGCUUGCCGUCAAUAACAUGGUCCUUGCGCGCCACGUCUGUGGUUGACGGUGAAGGAAGUGAACGUCAAUUACGCCAAAACGUGAAGCAGCGGGCGGUGCACGCGCUGAAGAAGGGCCGCAGCAGGAGAGAGUGGGGGGCCAGUUGAGGCAGGACGUUGCAGGCUGUGUUGCCCUUGAGGCUUUCCCAUUUCGUGCCGUACGCGAAAAGGGGCUGCUGUCACCCUCGCAUGCCGCCCACAAUACCUUACCGGCAGCUGCCGAGCUCCCUGGGCCGGUGCCAGCCGUCGCGCCGCCUGCACUUCAGUGAUCGGGUGGCCAGGGGGCACGAAACACGCGGGCGCGAGCGAGCUCAGCGACCCCAACGAGCAUCAGAGCACGCAGAAAUGUAUAGCAAAGUGGAUGCGUCACGGCACAAUUGGCAGCCACUUUGAAGCCUAGCUCAGCUCGGUGCCUCAACAAACAGCAACCCCGCGAAUCGGCCGACCGGUCGGAGCCGUCGGACAUACGCACACCUUGCCUCAAGACUCAAAAUGUGGUCUAAGAGCGCACCUUUCAGCGCCAAAAUGUAGUCAACGAGGCCAACCGGCAACCCGGUGGACGUGAGGCCCUCCCGAGAUGCACUCUUCAGCGUGUGUGUGCUGCUAUAGCGGGCUCCCAACAUUAUGUCCAGAUGCGGGUCUUUGAACAGCGUCACUUCAGCCCCAAAGGUUCUAAGGACUGUGCGCAGCUCCUCCCGUGCCUGUUCCGGGUCCAUGUCAGGGCACAAGGCUCGUCGACAACUUGCAAAAAAACGCGCGUGGGGCGAGUUAUAAAUGCGCUAAGCUAUGUGUAUCUGUUUACCAACAGCAAACUUGGUUGUGGGCUUGUGGCGUCCAUGGCACCGCUCUCGCGACUCGGAGCCCCUGCCCACGUCUGCGGCUCGGAGCCCGGCCCAUGCGGAGCCCAGCCCCAGCCUGAACCGCGCGCAUUUUAGCACGUAGCGUUGGUUACAUCCGUAAACCCCCAGUCGGAAUCGUUCGGAGCUGCUGUACCCUUACACAACGUUUGGCCACCCGCCAUCAUGCCCGCCCAGGGCCCACCCCGCCUCUGUAAAAUCAGUAACUUCAGAGCCCCGGAACUUCAUGCAACCCCCCACCCCAUACUCGUUCGAGUGCCAGCGUUGAGUGCCGGCAGCAGCAGCAUGCCGGCACGCGUCCGGGUUGGACAGCUUCCCCCCGGGCCCGGGGCUUUUUAAGCGCAUUUACGCAUCCCAACCCGCAACACCGUUGGACUCCAGACCAUACACCUAGAAUGUGUGUGGUCGUGAUCAGAGUGUGGUCGUAAUUCUCGUGACAAGCCACCAAUUUGCCUGGAGAUGCGUUCAAUCAUCAGUCCCGGCCAUUGCAACAGUUCUAGUCGUCAAAUGCAAUCGUACGGCAUGUUCCUUCGCUGCCCACUUGGCUGCCGGGCACAGCCAUUCAUCAUCACUGCGGGCUACCCAGCCGUGUAGGAGCGCGGCGGUCAUCGGCAGGGACCACCUGAGCUGGCCCAGCUGUGCUGGACUAACAGUUACAGGGGCCCAUCCACACACGCCGUGCCGCCGCGGCCCAGAGAGUGGUUACAAAGGAGGAGGGGACAAGGCACAGCCACACGCACGGGCACACAACCUGCAACGUGAGCAACCUGCAACAGUCUGCAACCUGCAACGUGAGCAAGCAGAACGCCACCCCUUGCCUCCUUGUCUGCGUUUGCUUGCGUCCCUUGCCGCCCCUUCGGAGGAUUCGUUUGCGUUUGCUGCUUGUGGCUUCCUGGUGUCGCACGGCAUGCACCGCACGCGCCGCAGCAGGGGUUCGGGGUGUCCAACUCGGCGGUUAGCUGUCGGUUGCCACCGAAAUUUCUACCCGACCCCCCCUGGAAGUGGGCUUUCCGCGGCGACCAAGCCUGAGACCUAUAGCUAUGAUACAAUAUAACGUAUCUGACUCAUUAACAGGCGCCAAGGCCCAAACUCUCGAACUCGCACUUUCAUAAGCGGCCAUGCCGCCCAAGGCCGCACGCCCUAGCCCCCGCGCACGCCUCAUGACCCCCCAAUAUGAUAACAAUAAGUUUGGGGUCAAGCGCGCUGGCUGAAAUCCACGCGCAGCCCAGUGGAGCGCGAAAUGUGUGUUACUACAAGCGCGCGCAGGAAGAACUCCUCGGUUUGGGCUCCUUUUGGCAGCAAACUUCCGCAAACGACGUUAUGUUAGCAUAAUGCUGGUUCCUAUGGGCCCUUAAUUACAAUAUCGUGGUUCUUGGGGAAACGUCAACAUCAAAUGAGGCCUUUAGAAGCGUCCUGAAAUUCCCUAAAGAGCAUAUCGCCAUUUGAGCCCACAUAUCAGGCAUAGAAUGAUUCGACUGCUCAAGAAGGUGCAUACACCCUGCUCGCCGAAACGCCCAUCGCGCGCGCAGCAAGUUCAUCCACACCGAGGGUUUUAAGUGUUCGCCAAAGCGCCAGACCCAGUAUACAUAUGUAAUGUAAGGCUCCUAUGGGCUACAUUUUACGCGGAAGAGGCUGUUCACGACAAUCAUAUUUCCACUGCCUCAGCGAGUCUAUACGCGAGCAAACCAACGCUAAAGAAUCCUUUGCCAACGAUGUUAUGCAGCGAUAUUGUGCGUCACUUCUACCAUUUCUAGCUGAGCCAACCGCACGAAUGAUCACACACGUUGCUGAAGCUUUCUAUCGUCGAUAGUUUGCGAUGGGCCUCUGAUGCUACACAAGGACAUACGAAUGUGAUAAAAUGGCAUUGCAAUGUCUCGGGGUGACAUUUCAAGCUGGGCGAGCGCAGCCAAGCCAAGGAAUGGACAAGGAAUUGAGAAUGCGCGACAAUGUGACCACGGCGUUAGGGCUACCGCACUGUUUUAUAUGGGUUUAUGGCAUCGUGGGUAUCGCUAGGGGCUCAGCCGGCCCACUUCCAGGGGGGGUCGGGACCAAAUGUCGGUGGCAACCGACAGCUAACCGCCGAGUUGGACACCCCGAACCCCUGCGCCGCAGUGCGACCGGGAUGAGCCAUGCAGCGAUCGCGCCAGGGGGGGUAGAAAGCUCAGAUUCUUACCCCAUGCUCAAAAUUACGGAGCUUUAGGAGAGCAUUACGCACGUACUUUUAGUUUUUUAAGGGGGUGUCUGGUGAGGAAGUUCUGGGCCGCCAAAGUUGGGGGGUCGGUCCUCGUCCCUGGGGGUCCGUCGGGUUUCGGGAGCCCAUCCUAGCGGAUUUCGGGAAGCGCCCCACAAGCAGAACUAGGGGUCAAACGCUGCAGUACGAGGCUCAUAUGUGCACGUUAUGACGUAAUAAGCACAAACAAAGCGUUGGGAGGGCGAAGUUGCGCGUCCGGGCGUGGACAUGUCGGGACAUGUCUCCACAUUCAACACAUGCGCACUGACACAGCUGGGCUCUGAAGCGCUGGUGCGCACGAGUUCACGUCUAACAAGGCUGCCGAUGCACAUUGUCUAUUCGUCACGCGGCAGAGAGUUGAGCGCGGGGUGGGUCGAGGGGAUUUCCAUGGAUAGGAUCCCGCCGGUGACCGAAGUCUCAGAACAGGACCGCUGAUGACACGGAGUGAUAGUGCUCGUCAAGAGGAGUCGAUUGACACCACUUUGGUGUUAAAUGGAGGGGUUUUAACCCCUGAACAACAAGGUUUCGUCCGUCAGGGGGUCGGUCGUCCCCUCAAGGGGGGUCCCGGGGGAUUUCGGGGCAUGGGGUCUGGCACUUUGUUUCCUACCCCCCCCCUGAUCGCGCUGUCGUUACUUCCUCGGCCGCCCGGCGCACUUGCUCAUUUAACCGCAUCCAUCACUUCCCCGUACUUAGUGUUCUUCGUUUAGUCACCCCGCGCAGCGCACAGCCACAGCCCGGCGUGCGCACCAUGUCCUCGCGGUUGCUUUGGGGUUGACGUUGCUUGCCUCGCGCCUAGCGCCAUAGCUUCUACGCUGCGGUGCAUCACGCCUCCUGUCCCUCCCUCCCUCCCAUACAACAUGUGCUGGGCACCGGUGGCGCUGGUGUUCUCCAGGUUGGUUUCGGGCGCAUCCUUUCUGGUAGUCCCAACGCCAGCCCGGCCGGCGUCGUCCAGCCCAGCCAUCCCAAUACAGCAGCCACCUUCCGUCAGCCAGCCAUGGGCGCGACCGUCCACAGCGUUUACCGUCGGUUACGAGGUAACAUGUGAAUUCGCAACUUGCGCUACUGACUGCCUACUCUCGUGCCGCCUGCAAGCCCACUCCGCCUUCCGCUCUGGUCUACGUACGCAUUAGUUCCGCAACACUAGUCAAUUCUAGUCGUCAAAUGCAAUCGUACGGCAUGUUCCUUCGCUGCCCACUUGGCUGCCGGGCACAGCCAUACAUGCAAAUGGCCUGGGCACAGCCAUUGAUCAUCACUGCGGGCUACCCAGCCGUGCAGGAGCGCGGCGGUCAUCGGCAGGGACCACCUGAGCUGGCCCAGCUGCGCUGGACUAACAGUUACAGGGGCCCAUCCACACACGCCGUGCCGCCGCGGCCCAGAGAGUGGUUACAAAGGAGGAGGGGACAAGGCACAGCCACACGCACGGGCACACAACCUGCAACGCGAGCAAGCAGAACGCCAGAGACAUCCGCACCAGCAGCCACCGAAACGCAUCCAUGGACAAAGCAAGGGCAGACCGGGGCCCCAAACACAGGCACACGAACAAACGCAGGCACACAUCAGCCCGCUCGCUCUAGAAGACCAACUUGCGUAGGAUCGUGUAGAGAGACGGCGGUAAGCCGCCCUACCUCACGCGCCAUGAUUCUCUCUGGCAUUCCAGGCUCCAAUCCUCCAUGCAAUCAAUACACUGUGUCAAGGGCAACCACCAGGCACUUACCCCUCGUUUGCCCGCCGAUCUCCCGCAUGUGACAUGUCACACGAUACGCACGGUCACUAGGUCAUGACACCACGCCAACACGAACACGGUAAGGGCCCCACACGACAAUCGAAGACCCGACACAUCCUACGUACGCCCUGAAUGCUCGACACUCUGUUGUGUGUGGCUACAAGGUGGUGGUUACAAGGUAGUGGUGACCACACACAACAGAGUGUCGAGCAUUCAGGGCGUACGUAGGCUGUGUCGGGUCUUCGAAUGUCGUGUGGGGCCCUUACAUUGUUUCCUGCCCGAGCAAAGUUUUGGAGGCGGGAGGACACUCGAAACCCGGCUGGGGCCGUUACAGCCCGUUCCCUGCGGGCUACGGUAUCCAGCCGUGCAGGAGCGCGGCGACCAUCGGCAGGGACCACCUAAACGACCCAGCUGUGCUGGACACACAGGAUGCCCACACACGCCGUGCCGCGGCCCAGCCUCCAGGUGGUGCCCCAGCCAGGUUGAAGCCGCCAGGAGCAACGCCAGCGCGUCACAUGCCAGGCCCAUGCGCGUGGCAAAGAGUCACGAGGUCUUCUCUUUGGCCUUCGUGACACUGCGGUACCACUCUGCCAGUAGCUGCUUGCCGUCAAUAACAUGGUCCUUGCGCGCCACGUCUGUGGUUGACGGUGAAGGAAGUGAGCGUCAAUUACGCCAAAACGUGAAGCAGCGGGCGGUGCACGCGCUGAAGAAGGGCCGCAGCAGGAGAGAGUGGGGGGCCAGUUGAGGCAGGACGUUGCAGGCUGUGUUGCCCUUGAGGCUUUCCCAUUUCGUGCCGUACGCGAAAAGGGGCUGCUGUCACCCUCGCAUGCCGCCCACAAUACCUUACCGGCAGCUGCCGAGCUCCCUGGGCCGGUGCC
rnacentral:lncRNA from 1 species